rnacentral:rRNA from 1 species
ACUCCUACGGGAGGCAGCAGUGGGAAUAUUGCACAAUGGGCGCAAGCCUGAUGCAGCCAUGCCGCGUGUGUGAAGAAGGCCUUCGGGUUGUAAAGCACUUUCAGUUGUGAGGAAAGGUUAGUCGCUAAUAUCGGCUAGCUGUGACGUUAGCAACAGAAGAAGCACCGGCUAACUCCGUGCCAGCAGCCGCGGUAACACGUAGGGUGCGAGCGUUGUCCGGAAUUAUUGGGCGUAAAGAGCUCGUAGGCGGUGUGUCGCGUCGGCCGUGAAAACCUGGGGCUUAACUCUGGGCGUGCGGUCGAUACGGGCAUCACUGGAGUUCGGCAGGGAGACUGGAAUUCCUGGUGUAGCGGUGAAAUGCGCAGAUAUCAGGAGGAACACCGGUGGCGAAGGCGGGUCUCUGGGCCGAUACUGACGCUGAGGAGCGAAAGCGUGGGGAGCGAACAGGAUUAGAUACCCUGGUAGGCUCUG